rnacentral:lncRNA from 1 species
AACGGAAAAAAGGGGGGGAAAUAUGUGGGAAAACACCCACAAGAGAGGGUUGCCCGCGCAGGCACGAUGUAUUGUGCGCGCGUAACAGGUGCAGGAUGUGCGCAUAGUUGCACAUGUCCCAUCCGCGCAAGGCAUAGGGCUAGACCUACGCGCACAUCUUGUCGCGUGCAGGUAGGCCAGUCAGCGUGCAUGGACUGGGCAGGCGCCGCACACUAUGCGCGCGCCGUUCGUGUAGCAAGCCUGUACGAACAGGCCCGCUCGCCUCGCCCCAGCACGUCGUUGGCCUUGCACGUGCGCAGGCUAGCUUCUGUGU